GCCCAGAUGUAGAUCAGACUACAGGGUACACAAUUCAGAAGUUCAUAGCAGAGCUCUAGGAUACAUGGCUAGUGUAAGACAUUAGUGUAAGACAUUGUCUCAGCAUUUGACAUGCCCCACGAGCUCCCCCUUUGAAGAGUGGGGAGCCUUGAAAGAGUGCAAGCAAACAAGUGCUCCUGCAAGUAGGCUGGACUUGCUCAUGCUGGUGCAGCCAAGCACUGCAUCCUUGGAGAUGAAGGCAAAGUUGAUAAAUUUGGUUCACUGUCUGAUCCAACCUCAGAACCUCCUCAGAGGAGUGGUGCGCUUCUAUGAUGAGAGGCAGUGCCAAAGACAAGUCAGGUAGCUGCUCCUCAGUUCUCAGGAUGUCUGAUGGUACCUUUAUUUGACAACUGGCUCAGUCCCUCCCUGGUGUACAGAUCAAUAUCUCUCAAACCAUUGGGCCCCACUUCAAGAUCCACUUCCAUGUCCUCAUUGUUCUGCUCAGCCCUAUGAAGUUGUUUCCAUGGGACUAAUGACACCCAAAAAUUUAAGUUACCCCUGGAAAAUUGGCUGCCAUGACAGUAUUUUCUGUCUUUUGGUGGGCUUAUUAGAAGCCGAUAGCAUAAGCUAAGUUGAUGUACACCUUCCUGACUUUUCCUACUAAAAGGAGGUUCACAUCCCAUUAUUAUUGUUUUGCCACUUUGCAGAGUUCAUUCUGCUUCUAUAAGCUGCUGAAGAGCAUAACAAUUUAUGCAAAACAACAACAAAGAGUUUGAGUGCAAAUUUGUUUCCUCCACAGAAUUUUAUGCAGACAACAGAAUCCACCUCUCCAUGCCAUUAUAAUCUGAGUAUCCUUGGACUAGCUUUUUUAUGACAACACAGACCACAAACUGGAAAGGAAGAGAGUGGAAGAGACAUAAUUGCGCACUAUCAUUACUGAGCACUAAAUGAACCCCAUGGAGCAUAAUGCAGAGAAGCAUACUUCCUCAUGGUGCCUUUAGUUCCCCAGGGGGGUCUGUUAAGUACUUUGUAGUUCUCUGUGCCAGCCUGAAAAGAAGCCACCACUGGGAGUAGAGCUUAAUGUCCUAAUUCCCAAAUCAUUUAGAGCAAGAAAUAUGUUCACUCUUGACUCAUGGGGAAGCAGAAAUGUACAUAUCAGAAUUCAGGAUGGGAUGCCAGAUAAACAGAUAACAACUAAA